AUGAGAUUAGUGGGUCUGGCGGCGAUCGAAAGGGCAAGAUGAAGGCAGGCUUCUCGGGUACUCUGGCUGCGUGCGGGUGAUGCCAGCACGAAGUUCUUCCAUGCCAAGUGCUGCUCUAGAAGACGAAAAAACUUUAUCCACACCCUGCAGAGCGAGGACAGAGCUGCAACGACACACUCAGACAAAGCCCAGCUCAUCCAUGAUCACUUCAGUAAGGCUAUGGCAGCUGAUGGGAACCGGCGUGUUACGCUAAACUGGAGACGGUUAUGACUCCCGCGAGUCCAAGCGGCUGGUUUGGACAACCCGUUCUCUGAAGAAGAGGUG
rnacentral:rRNA from 1 species